CUUUCCUUCACUUGGGGCUCAUGACAGGUGCCCCUUUGUUCUUUGAUUUGAUAUUAUCUCAAAUAGCCUUGGAGCUUCAGCCAGGCUAAAAAACUUGCACUGGCAGCAAAAUGCCCAAAUUAGCAUUUUUGCUAAUUCCAGAAAAAUGCAAAGUUGCUGAAGCCCUGCCAGGAACCUGUCAAACUAAUUUGCAGUGGGAGAAGUGGAUCUGGGGUGAGGAAAAUAUUCAGUUGAAUAUGGUACAGAAAACGGCCUGUAUAGACUUUCCUGUUCCUCCUUUUAAAGAUGAUAGAAUCAUGAAUUCCAAAGUCAGAACCUGAGACGCCAACAUCUAAAAAGGAUUCGUUCAUAGUCUACCGUGACUCCUUCCAUCCUGAUCCUGGGUCCUGGGAAAGAACAACAUAGAAUCAGAUAAUACAACAGAAAAACAAAACAAGAAACAAAGAAAACCAAACCAAACCAAACCAAAAAUUAAUCUGCCUCC
ensembl:lncRNA